GACGAACGCUGGCGGCGUGCUUAACACAUGCAAGUCGAACGGAAAGGUCCUGCUUUUGUGGGUUGCACGAUUGCGGAACGGGGGAGUAACACGCGAGUAACCUGCCCUUAUCUUUGGGAUAACUUCAGGAAACUGGGGCUAAUACCGGAUAGGAUCUCUUGCUGCAUGUGGGGGGUUGGAAAGUUACGGCGUUUGGGGAUGGACUCGCGGCUUAUCCGCUAGUUGGUGUGGUAGUUGCUUACCAAGGCUUUGACGGGUAGCCGGCCUGAGAGGGUGACCGGCCACCAUGGGACUGCGAGACGGCCCAGAAUCCUACGGGACGCAGCAGUGGAGAAUAUUGCACAAUGGGGGGAAGCCUGAUGCAGAAACGCCGCGUGCGGGAUGACGGCCUUCGGGGUGUAAACCACUUUCGCAGGUGACGAAGAGUGCGUGACGGUAAUGAGUAAAGAAGCACCGGCUAACUACGUG
rnacentral:rRNA from 1 species